GGGAGACUGGGCAGGUUGGGUUGAAUUACUUGAUCAUUUAGUCACUUAAAUAACCUAACCCUAUUUGUCGGAUAG
rnacentral:miRNA from 1 species